CCAGACUCCUACGGGAGGCAGCAGUGGGGAAUAUUGCACAAUGGGGGAAACCCUGAUGCAGCGACGCCGCGUGGAGGAAGAAGGUCUUCGGAUUGUAAACUCCUGUCCUUGGGGACGAUAAUGACGGUACCUGAAGAAGAAGCCCCGGCUAACUACGUGCCAGCAGCCGCGGUAAUACGUAGGGGGCAAGCGUUAUCCGGAUUUACUGGAUGUAAAGGGAGCGUAGACGGCAGUGCAAGUCUGGAGUGAAAGGCGGGGGCUCAACCCCCGGACUGCUCUGGAAACUGUACGGCUGGAGUGCAGGAGAGGUAAGUGGAAUUCCUAGUGUAGCGGUGAAAUGCGUAGAUAUUAGGAGGAACACCAGUGGCGAAGGCGGCUUACUGGACCGUAACUGACGUUGAGGCUCGAAAGCGUGGGGAGCAAACAGGAUUAGAUACCCUCGUAA
rnacentral:rRNA from 1 species